AGAGUUUGAUCCUGGCUCAGAUUGAACGCUGGCGGCGUGCUUAACACAUGCAAGUCGAACGUGAAAGUCCUUCGGGGCGAGUAAAGUGGCGCACGGGUGAGUAACGCGUGGAUAAUCUACCCUUAAGAUGGGGAUAACGGCUGGAAACGGUCGCUAAUACCGAAUACGCUCCCGAUUUUAUCAUUGGGGGGAAAGAUGGCCUCUGCUUGCAAGCUAUCGCUUAAGGAUGAGUCCGCGUCCCAUUAGCUAGUUGGCGGGGUAACGGCCCACCAAGGCAACGAUGGGUAGCCGGUCUGAGAGGAUGACCGGCCACACUGGAACUGGAACACGGUCCAGACUCCUACGGGAGGCAGCAGUGGGGAAUAUUGCGCAAUGGGCGAAAGCCUGACGCAGCGACGCCGCGUGAGGGAUGAAGGUUCUCGGAUCGUAAACCUCUGUCAGGGGGGAAGAAACCCCCUCGUGUGAAUAAUGCGAGGGCUUGACGGUACCCCCAAAGGAAGCACCGGCUAACUCCGUGCCAGCAGCCGCGGUAAUACGGAGGGUGCAAGCGUUAAUCGGAAUCACUGGGCGUAAAGCGCACGUAGGCGGCUUGGUAAGUCAGGGGUGAAAUCCCACAGCCCAACUGUGGAACUGCCUUUGAUACUGCCAGGCUUGAGUACCGGAGAGGGUGGCGGAAUUCCAGGUGUAGGAGUGAAAUCCGUAGAUAUCUGGAGGAACACCGGUGGCGAAGGCGGCCACCUGGACGGUAACUGACGCUGAGGUGCGAAAGCGUGGGUAGCAAACAGGAUUAGAUACCCUGGUAGUCCACGCUGUAAACGAUGGGUGCUGGGUGCUGGGAUGUAUGUCUCGGUGCCGUAGCUAACGCGAUAAGCACCCCGCCUGGGGAGUACGGUCGCAAGGCUGAAACUCAAAGAAAUUGACGGGGGCCCGCACAA
rnacentral:rRNA from 1 species